rnacentral:tRNA from 1 species
UGGGCCUGUAGCUCAGAUGGUGAGAGCGCACGCCUGAUAAGCGUGAGGUCGAUAGUUCGAAUCUAUCCAGGCCCACC